GAUGAACGCUGGCGGCGUGCUUAACACAUGCAAGUCGAACGGUGAACCCCGCUUCCGGCGGGUCUAGUGGCGAACGGGUGAGUAACACGUGCGCAACCUUCCCCCACCUCUGGGACAACUCUAAGAAAUUGGGGCCAAUACUGGUUAUGACUGCUGACUGCAUGGUCUGGUGUCGGAAAUAUUGAUCGGCUGGGGUUGGGCGUGCAGCCAAUCCCCUUGCUGGUGGGGUAGUGGCCUACCAAGGCGCCGACGGGUAGCCCGCCUGGGAGGGUGACCGGCCACACUGGGACUGAGACAGGGCCCAGACUGCUACGGGAGGCAGCAGUGGGGAAUAUUGCGGAAUGAGCGAGAGCCAGUCACAGCGACGCCGCGAGGGGAAUAACGGCCUUCGGGUUGUAAACCACUUUCAGCAGGGACGAAGCGGACGUGACGGUACCUGCAGAGAAAGCACCGGCUAACUACGUG
rnacentral:rRNA from 1 species